GUAGGUGGCAAGCGUUGUCCGGAAUUAUUGGGCGUAAAGCGCGCGCAGGCGGUUCUUUAAGUCUGAUGUGAAAGCCCACGGCUCAACCGUGGAGGGUCAUUGGAAACUGGAGAACUUGAGUACAGAAGAGGAAAGCGGAAUUCCACGUGUAGCGGUGAAAUGCGUAGAGAUGUGGAGGGACACCAGUGGCGAAGGCGGCUUUCUGGUCUGUAACUGACGCUGAGGCGCGAAAGCGUGGGGAGCAAACAGGAUUAGAUACCCUGGUAGUCCACGCCGUAAACGAUGAGUGCUAAGUGUUAGGGGGUUUCCGCCCCCCUUAGUGCUGCAGCUAACGCAUUAAGCACUCCGCCUGGGAGUACGGCCGCAAGGCUG
rnacentral:rRNA from 1 species